rnacentral:rRNA from 1 species
CACGGGGGGAGCAAGCGUUGUUCGGAAUCACUGGGCGUAAAGGGCGUGUAGGCGGUCAGGUUAGUGAGAUGUGAAACGCCUCGGCUCACCCGAGGACCUGCAUCUCAAACUGCCUGGCUUGAGUAUGGGAGAGGAUGAGGGAAUUCCUGGUGUAGCGGUGAAAUGCGUAGAUAUCAGGAGGAACACCUGUGGUGUAGACAGCUUACUGGACCACUUCUGACGCUGAGACACGAAAGCGUGGGUAGCAAACAGG